rnacentral:rRNA from 1 species
UCGAGUGCGCGUGCCGUAGCAAUACGGUAUGGCGCACGGCGCACGGGUGCGUAACACGUGGGCAAUCUGCCCUCCGAUGGGGAAUAACUCCGGGAAACCGAAGCUAAUUCCGCAUAACAUUCCCUGGACUCCGGUUCGGGGAUUCAAAGCAGCAAUGCGUCGGAGGAGGAGCCCGCGCCCGAUUAGCUAGUUGGUGAGGUAACGGCUCACCAAGGCUAUGAUCGGUAGCUGGUCUGAGAGGAUGGCCAGCCACACUGGAACUGAGACACGGUCCAGACUCCUACGGGAGGCAGCAGUGGGGAAUCUUGCGCAAUGGGCGAAAGCCUGACGCAGCGACGCCGCGUGGGGGAUGAAGCUUCUCGGAGUGUAAACCCCUUUCGACCGGGACGAAUGCCCGCAAGGGAGUGACGGUACCGGUAGAAGAAGCCCCGGCUAACUACGUGCCAGCAGCCGCGGUAAGACGUAGGGGGCCAGCGUUGUUCGGAAUUACUGGGUGUAAAGGGUUCGUAGGCGGUGUGGCAAGUCGGGAGUGAAAUUUCUGGGCUUAACCCAGAACCUGCUUCCGAAACUGCCGUGCUGGAGUGUGGGAGAGGCGCGUGGAAUUGCAGGUGUAGCGGUGAAAUGCGUAGAUAUCUGCAGGAACACCCGUGGCGAAAGCGGCGCGCUGGACCACUACUGACGCUGAGGAACGAAAGCUAGGGGAGCAAACAGGAUUAGAUACCCUGGUAGUCCUAGCCCUAAACGAUCAGGACUUGGGGUGCCACCCGUUCGGGUGUCGUCCCGGAGCUAACGCGUUAAGUCCUGCACCUGGGGAGUACGGUCGCAAGACUGAAACUCAAAAGGAAUUUGACGGGGGGCCCGCACAA